GAUAUUGGUGACUGGGACAUCUUGGAUGAGGAGAAAGACGAUUGUGUGACCUGUUCAUUUGCCUUGUGUGAGGAAACGACUGAAACAUAUGUUCAAAUUUCUGACUCAGUCACCAUGUACUAAUGAGGAAGAAAACCUAGUCAACACAGUUCUGUGUAGGGUUUUUUUUUU